AUGAUGUUGAAGAUGAGCGGGUGGCAGCGACAAAGCCAAAAUCAGUUCCGGAUCCUAAGGAGAAAGUGUUCCAGAAGGAAGUGUAUCUUCAUACAUCACCACACCUGAAAGAAGGUAAACUUCACAACUCUUUUCCAAAACCAACUCCUAAGGAAAAGCUGCUUAGGCUCCCUUUGCUGGGAUCCUAAGAAGUUACUAGAAGACCCAGCCUAAAGAAGGAGAGCAAGAACCUGAUCCAUCUGCAGAGAUGGCAGCUGAGUCAUUGCCUUUCUCCUUCGGGACGGUGUCCAGCUGGGAGCUGGAAGCCUGGUAUGAGGAUCUGCAGGAGGUUCUGUCUUCAGAUGAAAACGGGGGUGCUUAUAUCUCACCCCCUAGAAACGAAGAGG